rnacentral:miRNA from 1 species
UAACCUGGAACCUUGGGAAGAAG